CACCACAUUGGCCCAAGUCAUUCCUGGUCUACAACAACUUGGAUUUUGUCUCUUAGGAGCUAAAUUUGGGUCCAAAAAGGUUGGAGGGGACCUUGUGAGUUUCAAAAGACUGGAUAUCUUGGGUUCUUUUUGUCCAGAGCUGAAUGGAGAUGAGGAGAAUUUCUUCAUCAAAGGAGAUGGCAAGAGGAAGACCAAAGGUAGUUUGGACUACUCAGAAGUGAGAUAAAAUAGAUCAUGCCUAUUUGGGGGUCCCCAAAUUGAUUUAAUUUCUGAUGAGGUUUAAGUGUCAGUCUUCUAAGAGAUUAUAAUAGUUUUAAUAUGUUACUGAAUCUGGAUUUGCCUUUCUGUCAAUGCAUAUUGUGAAGCUUACUCCUUGUAUGACCUCCUGUGGACUCAGUUUCCUCACCUGUUAAAUGAAGAUUUAAAACUAGCUAGCCUCUGAAGUACUUUCCAACUCAAGAUCUAUGAUCUUAUUAUUCUAAUCAAGUCCUUUUUUCUCUUUU
rnacentral:lncRNA from 1 species